rnacentral:rRNA from 1 species
CGUAGGAUCCAAGCGUUAUCCGGAUUUACUGGGCGUAAAGAGUUGCGUAGGUGGCAGAGUAAGUUAGUAGUGAAAUCGUGUGGCUCAACCAUACUCACAUUACUAAAACUGCUCAGCUUGAAGAUGAGAGAGGUCACUGGAAUUCCAAGUGUAGGAGUGAAAUCCGUAGAUAUUUGGAGGAACACCGAUGGCGUAGGCAGGUGACUGGCUCAUUCUUGACACUAAGGCACGAAAGCGUGGGGAGCAAACGGGAUUAGAUACCCCGGUAGUCCUCGCCGUAAACGAUGGAUGCUAGCUGUUAGGAGUAUCGACCCUCCUAGUAGCGAAGCUAACGCGUUAAGCAUCCCGCCUGUGGAGUACGGUCGCAAGACUA